rnacentral:rRNA from 1 species
UACGUAGGGGGCUAGCGUUGUCCGGAAUCAUUGGGCGUAAAGCGCGUGUAGGCGGUCCGGUAAGUCCGCUGUGAAAGUCGGGGGCUCAACCCUCGAAUGCCGGUGGAUACUGUCGGGCUAGAGUCCGGAAGAGGCGAGUGGAAUUCCCGGUGUAGCGGUGAAAUGCGCAGAUAUCGGGAGGAACACCAAUGGCGAAGGCAGCUCGCUGGGACGGUACUGACGCUGAGGCGCGAAAGCGUGGGAGCAACAGG